UGGGGAAUCUUGGACAAUGGGCGCAAGACUGAUCCAGCCAUGCCGCGUGAGUGAAGAAGGCCUUAGGGUUGUAAAGCUCUUUUGGCAGGGACGAUAAUGACGGUACCUGCAGAAUAAGCCCCGGCAAACUUCGUGCCAGCAGCCGCGGUAAUACGAAGGGGGCUAGCGUUGUUCGGAUUUACUGGGCGUAAAGCGCACGUAGGCGGAUUGUUAAGUCAGGGGUGAAAUCCCGGAGCUCAACUCCGGAACUGCCUUUGAUACUGGCAAUCUUGAGGCUGGAAGAGGUUGGUAGAAUUCCCAGUGUAGAGGUGAAAUUCGUAGAUAUUGGGAAGAAUACCAGUGGCGAAGGCGGCCAACUGGUCCAGAUCUGACGCUGAGGUGCGAAAGCGUGGGGAGCAAACA
rnacentral:rRNA from 1 species